UAUCAGCUUGUAUCUGAGGACUUCGAUUACUCGGAAUUUGCGUGUAAAUGUAAUUGUUUCAGAUAAUUUGUUUGCUUCUUUUGACAUUAUUUUAUUUGAUCUUGAACUAUAGCAGGUUGUCGAAUGAUGAUUCACAUAUGUUACAAAAUGCUGUUAUAAAUUUCGGGAAUAUGAUUGUUGGUGACAUUGCCAUCGAUAUUUCUACUCUUGAACGAGAGAUUAGUUAUUGGACUACUUUCAGAUUCUUGACACCGAAUGAUGGAGUUAGGGAAAGUUUCUCACUUCUAAAUAAACAUAUUUCAGAUCUGAGUAUGCUUACAACCAUACAAGGAUAUCCGCGUACGUUUUAUGAUCAGGAUACUUGCCAACGAUUUUUGGCUGUCUAUGUAAUUGUUCAACAAAUACUCAAAGCAGCUACAGAUUUUGCAAAACAUGCAUCUUUCAAUAAUAAAAAGAUUCAAAGUUUCGCAUCCUUUGGUUACAUCAAGCCAGGGUCUUCAGAUAUUCAUACUGUUCAGGUUAGCGGUGAGGAUCCAAGGGGAAAGGCCACACAAGAUUUUAAAUCUCGCAGCGAUGAAGUAAUGAAGAGGUUGGUCCAUUGGCUUGCCAAACAUCAAACUGUGGAAAGCCUGUUGAAGUUCUCCCAAUUUGAGUUCUCCGAAUUUGAUUUUGAGUAGUGUGCUGAUUCAAGUCUUAUGUUGCCAACGUGUAUACAGCCAUCUAAUGAAUCAGCUUAAUUUCCUUUGUA